UAAACAUCUACUUUAUUACAGGUAUUCAACUGUAUCCUUGAAAAUUACAUGUAAUAUCAAUAGUGCUUGUUACCCUGUUCAUAUACCUGUAAUACCCCAUCCGUCCACACGAGGGCAGUGUUGUUCAACACAGCGAGUUCAACUCUCCAAACGGUCUGCCCAAAGAAGAUACGUACAACAACGACACUUGUACUCGUGUGUUAGAGAACAGACUUAAACCGAGUCAAACCAGCCCAACUGACGACAGUUAUACGACAACAUUAAUUUGAUUUUAACAAACUUGUCUGAAACAGCCAUUAAGUCUCUAUCGUCCGUUUCGCGGUGUACUAUGUGUAAUGUCAUUUUUGUAGUCGCGGAAACGUACGUUGUUUUUUUUUUAAUUUUUAUCCCGAUUAUCACUGAACGAACAAGUCGGUGAACUCGUGUGCACAAAGGAAGCAGCCGCUGUCGCCGCCUGUGGCCAAUUUGUUUUCCAUCACUUCUGAGGAGCGGCU